rnacentral:ncRNA from 1 species
AUAUCUAUGUUGCAAUCCCAGGAGAAAUCAUUUAGUCAAGUACACAGGGAAUGGAAACAAUCCAAUACCUAUAGAAAAAUAGAUUUACCAAGAGUUAGGUAGUAGAUAGAGAGAAUCCUAAUUAGCUAGGAUUUCACAAAUAAUGAUCAUUACAGUAGUCUUUUGAUGAAUGACUUAGUAAAAAGUAUUUUUGUUAAUUUGUAGGUUAGCUAAGCUAAUCCAAAGAGGUAAAAGACACGUAAUCAUAAGUGUGUUUGUUCUGUUGGUCAAGUACUACGAUUUUGGUAGGAAGAUAGGGGUGUCAUCCUCUAAGGAUAAAUAUUAUAAGGUGAGCGAUAGUGAAGAGAAACGUGAGCAAAUGGUUCAAAAGUAGGUAGUUAAUCGUUGAAAUAGAACCUGAAUUCGUAGUCUUCUAAGCAUUCAAAGCUCUAUGGCCCUCAAAAUAUGCGAGUGAUGAUGUACCUUUUGCAUAAUGAGUCACUUAGUAAUAGUCAAUAGCAAGGUUAAAUCAUAGCAAAUGUGACAAUGGUUGAUAAGACCAAUUGGUUAAGUUAUUUAUUAUUGAUCCAAAACCUAACGAUCUAGCCAUGAUCAAGCUAAGUUGAAAUGGAUAGAAUGGAUGUCCUAAGUAAAGGGCUUCGAUGAAUUGUGGCUAGCAAGUGAAAGAUAAACCUAGUUAGGAGAUAGUUGAUCCUCCACGAAAUAUAUUAAAGUAUAGUGUGAUGAUGACAUCUUAUAUAGGUACAACUAUGAUUGUAAGGAUUCUUCCAGGGUGUUGGCUUUACCCAUGACAAAUAACCUAUAAAUGACAUAGUAAUGAUCCAUAGCAUACAACUUAUUUAUGAUCAAGCGGGUAGGAAAGAAGGAAACAUCCCUCAAUGUUUGUUUAAGGUUCCUAAUUUCCCUUUAAGCGGUAGAAAAGAAGUGAAUUUCCCAAGAAAAACAGGAUAUGUGUUUGGUAGUCGCAAUUAAAUAAUGAGAGUGUAACAACUCAAUAGUCUAAGUGGUCUUCUGAUCAUGGGGGAAUAAUGGGUGCUUUCAAAACAUCUUUCUCCUCCCCACCAACCUUCAAUUACUUUCACUGGGUUGUGUUUUCUCGUGAAUCCUUGUAUGAACUCCUUGUCUAACAUAAUCUGAUGGGUCGAGAACUUGUAUAUAGUCUUCAAGGUGUUAGGAAUGUAAGAACCAAUCCUAGUCUUAUUGUCUG